UACGUAGGGUGCGAGCGUUGUCCGGAAUUAUUGGGCGUAAAGAGCGCGUAGGCGGUCCGGUAAGUCCGCUGUGAAAGUCAAGGGCUCAACCCUUGAAUGCCGGUGGAUACUGUCGGGCUAGAGUCCGGAAGAGGCGAGUGGAAUUCCUGGUGUAGCGGUGAAAUGCGCAGAUAUCAGGAGGAACACCUAUUGCGAAGGCAGCUCGCUGGGACGUAACUGACGCUGAGAAGCGAAAGCAUGGGGAGCGAACAGG
rnacentral:rRNA from 1 species